GCCUGCAGCGGGGAGCGGAGCCACCCCCCGCCGGCUCGGCUCGGCUCGGCCCAGCCCCGCUCUUAAAGGGACACGGACCCCGCCGCGGAUCGGCCGGCCCGGCCCGGGGCGGGCACAUGGGGUAUGCGGGGGGUAGGUGAAAGUGCAUUAGCUGAGCCCAGUCCUAGUUCCUACACGUCACAAAACCACUCACCAUGAAUUGAUCAACAAAUCUCUUCUCAGGAGAGCAGGGGGUGCGCAGGGCAGGACUGAAGCGUAUCAGCAGAGCCGUCAGUACAUAUGUGCCAAUGGAAAAUAAAGAACUGGAGCAAUACAAGGUUUACGGGGAACUCUCACCCUGCUGGAUGAAUGACGGUAGCAUGCUGAGAUUGAAAGCUCUCCCACAAAC